rnacentral:rRNA from 1 species
UACGUAGGGGGCAAGCGUUGUCCGGAUUCAUUGGGCGUAAAGAGCGUGUAGGCGGCCUGGAAGGUCAGCUGUGAAAACUCGAGGCUCAACCUCGAGACGUCGGUUGAAACCACCUGGCUAGAGUCCGGAAGAGGAGUGUGGAAUUCCCGGUGUAGCGGUGAAAUGCGUAGAUAUCUGGAGGAAUACCGGUGGCGAAGGCGGCAUCCUGGACCGGCAUUGACGCUGAUGAGCGAAAGCUAGGGGAGCAAACGGG